AGAGUUUGAUCAUGGCUCAGAUUGAACGCUGGCGGCAUGCCUUACACAUGCAAGUCGAACGGCAGCACGGGAGCAAUCCUGGUGGCGAGUGGCGAACGGGUGAGUAAUACAUCGGAACGUGCCCAAUCGUGGGGGAUAACGCAGCGAAAGCUGUGCUAAUACCGCAUACGAUCUACGGAUGAAAGCAGGGGACCGCAAGGCCUUGCGCGAAUGGAGCGGCCGAUGGCAGAUUAGGUAGUUGGUGGGGUAAAGGCUCACCAAGCCUGCGAUCUGUAGCUGGUCUGAGAGGACGACCAGCCACACUGGGACUGAGACACGGCCCAGACUCCUACGGGAGGCAGCAGUGGGGAAUUUUGGACAAUGGGCGCAAGCCUGAUCCAGCCAUGCCGCGUGCAGGAUGAAGGCCUUCGGGUUGUAAACUGCUUUUGUACGGAACGAAAAGACUCUGGUUAAUACCUGGGGUCCAUGACGGUACCGUAAGAAUAAGCACCGGCUAACUACGUGCCAGCAGCCGCGGUAAUACGUAGGGUGCAAGCGUUAAUCGGAAUUACUGGGCGUAAAGCGUGCGCAGGCGGUUAUAUAAGACAGAUGUGAAAUCCCCGGGCUCAACCUGGGAACUGCAUUUGUGACUGUAUAGCUAGAGUACGGCAGAGGGGGAUGGAAUUCCGCGUGUAGCAGUGAAAUGCGUAGA
rnacentral:rRNA from 1 species